GAAAUAAAAUGGAAAAUGCAUUGUUUAUGAUUAUUAUUUCAGGAGUUUCACUAUACUACAGCUACGAUCAAACAGCACUAGCAAUUUGCACAGCAGAAACUAAUGGCUCCAUGUUAUUUUAUGCAAGAGUUCUUGCUGUCAGAAGAAGUUGUAGGAAUAAAGAAAAGUGUGAAGAUAUUUGCAAAAAAAUAGGUUCAUCAUACCACUGUUUCGACGCCGUUCACAUCUACGGCAGGUCUUCUUCGAAAUACCUUUCAGCAUACCGCUAUCUGUUUGAAGGUUGCGGGGUGACAGUAUGUGGUCCAAACUAUUGCUGCUGUGGAAAAAAUUAGAUAAGCUUAGAAUCUAGCACACUGUGACAAGAGAUCAACUAUUUAAAAAGAUAUGAAUCAUUGUUACUGUGACUAGUAUCUGCAAUAAAAUUAUCAAACAUUUA